UGGCUCAGAACGAACGCUGGCGGCGUGCUUAACACAUGCAAGUCGAGCGGUAAGGCCCUUUUGGGGGUACACGAGCGACGAACGGGUGAGUAACACGUGGGUGACCUGCCCUCCACUUCGGGAUAAGCCUGGGAAACUGGGUCUAAUACCGGAUAGGACCAUUGGAUGCAUGUCUGGUGGUGGAAAGUUUUUCGGUGGGGGAUGGGCCCGCGGUCUAUCAGCUUGUUGGUGGGGUGAUGGCCUACCAAGGCGACGAGGGAUAGCCGGCCUGAGAGGGUGAUCGGCCACACUGGGACUGAUAUCACGGCCCAGACGGAUACGGGAGGCAGCA
rnacentral:rRNA from 1 species